rnacentral:rRNA from 1 species
CAGUAGCCACGGGAAUACGUAGGUGGCAAGCGUUGUCCGGAGUUAUUGGGCGUAAAGGGCUCGCAGGCGGUUUCUUAAGUCUGAUGUGAAAGCCCCCGGCUCAACCGGGGAGGGUCGUUGGAAACUGGGAAACUUGAGUGCAGAAGAGGAGAGUGGAAUUCCACGUGUGGCGGUGAAAUGCGUAGAGAUGUGGAGGAACACCAGUGGCGAAGGCGACUCUCUGGUCUGUAACUGGCGCUGAGGAGCGAAAGCGUGGGGAGCGAACAGGAUUAGAUACCCGAGUAGUCCCUGUCUCUUAUAC